GCUCAGCUUUACAGAAAUCAGAUCACAGACACAGAACAACAACACCCGGACUCUGUUUUAAUCAUUCUUGGGGACUUUAACAAAGCCAAUCUCUCCCGUGAACUGCCAAAAUACAGACAGCAUCUUACAUGUCCCACCAGAGACAGUAAUGUAUUGGAUCACUGUUACACCACAAUAAAGGAUGCAUAUCACUCUGUUCCACGAGCAGCUUUGGGACGUUCUGAUCACUGUCUGGUUCAUCUUAUACCGUCCUACAGGCAGAAACUAAAAUCUGCUAAACCUGUAGUAAGGACUGUGAAGAGAUGGACCAGCGAAACAGAGCAGGAUUUACAAUCUUGUUUUGAACUCACUGAUUGGAGUGUUUUUGAAGCUGCUACCACCGAUCUGGACGAACUCACAGAGACCGUAACAUCCUAUAUUAGUUUCUGUGAGGAUAUAUGCAUUCCUACCAGGACUUAUUUAACAUUCAACAAUGAUAAGCCAUGGUUUACAGUAAAACUCAGACAUCUUCGUCAGGCCAAAGAGGAUGCCUACAGAAAUGGGGACAGGGUCUUGUACAAUCAGGCCAGGAAUACACUGAACAAAGAGAUCAGAGCGGCUAAAAAGACCUGCGCUAAAAAGUUGGAAGACCAGUUUACUUCCAACGACUCAACUUCAGUGUGGAGAGGUCUAAGAGCCAUCACGAACUACAAGACACCAUCCCCUUGCACUGAGGCUAAUCAACGACUUGCUAACGACCUGAAUGAGUUUUAUUGUAGAUUUGAAACCCCCAACACCCAUUUUGACCAUCUCCCUACACAACCAUUAACACAUCCUGCAAUCCCACCCUCCACACCUCCUGCUCUUCAAAUCUGUGAAGAUGCUGUGCGCCAGGUCUUCAAGAAGAACAAAAGAAGAAAAGCACCAGGCCCAGAUGGUGUUACACCAGCCUGUCUGAAAAUCUGUGCUGACCAGCUGGCCCCCAUCUUUUCACAGAUCUUCAACAGAUCCCUGGAGUUGUGGAAAGUGCCUUCCUGCUUCAAACGCUCCACCAUCAUCCCCAUCCCAAAGAAACCCAAGAUAGCAGAACUUAACGACUACAGACCUGUGGCUCUAACGUCUGUCGUCAUGAAGUCGUUUGAAAAACUGGUUCUGGCUUAUCUGAAGGACAUCACUGGACCCUUACUGGACCCCCUGCAGUUUGCUUAUCGAGCAAACAGGUCCGUGGAUGAUGCAAUCAACAUGGGAUUGCACUUCAUCCUGCAACAUCUGGACAAAACAGGGACUUAUGUGAGGAUCCUAUUUGUGGACUUUAGUUCGGCAUUCAACACCAUCAUCCCAACAGCCCUUCAGACCAAACUGACCCAGCUCUCUGUUCCUAGCUCUAUCUGUCAGUGGAUCACCAGCUUUCUGACAGAUAGGCAACAGUUAGUGAGACUGGGGAAAUUCACAUCAAACAGCUGCUCCACCAACACUGGUGCCCCUCAGGGAUGCGUCCUCUCCCCUCUGCUUUUCUCCCUGUACACCAACGACCUCUAA
rnacentral:lncRNA from 1 species